UUCUUGACCUUGUAAGGCCUUUUCUUGACCUUGUAAGAUCCCGCGUUAAGAAUUGGUCGCUUAUUUCUAGUUUUUUUAAAGACUCCCCGUUUCCGUCCAACUCAUCUUCUCCUUCCUUGUCUAUCCCUCCUGAGCU
rnacentral:siRNA from 1 species